rnacentral:rRNA from 1 species
AGCGAACGCUGGCGGCAUGCUUAACACAUGCAAGUCGCACGACCGGGUUUCGGCCUGGGAGUGGCGGACGGGUGAGUAUCGCGUAGGGAUUUGUCGUUGGGUGGGGACAACCUUGGGAAACUGGGCUAAUACCGCAUGACGCCUUUGGGCCAAAGCUCGAGAGGGCGCCUGACGAGGAGCCUGCGUCCGAUUAGGUAGUUGGUUGGGUGAUGGCUGACCAAGCCUGCGAUCGGUAGCUGGUCUGAGAGGAUGGCCAGCCACACU